GUGGGUAUAUCUCAGUAGUAGAGCGCAUGCUUAGCAUGCAUGAGGUCCCAGGUUCAAUCCCAAGUACCUCCA
rfam:Camelus ferus unplaced genomic scaffold scaffold765, whole genome shotgun sequence.